UGUAUUUAUACAAAAAAAAAAUAGGUAGUAACCUCUUAUCAAACCUUUGUACUAUGGUGGCAUUUCAUUUUAUUAGAGGAAUAUGUUUAAUAAUCGUAACCACACGAUUACUUUCACUUUUAAUUAUAUUUUAUAUACCGCCGUCUUGAAUAGAUCAUAAAAUUUUGUUCAAAAUAAAAUUCUAAAAAUUUAGGUAAAGGUGUAAACUAUCUAAAAGAUGAAAUGUAUUACAUUAAAAAAAAUUUAAGGAUCAAAUUAAAAUAUAAUUCUAAGAAAGAGGAUUUAUAAGUAUUAUUUAAUCAAAAUUAAAAUUUGAAUUAAAAAAUAAAUGUGCACAUAUCGCCCGUCACCCUUAUUAUAAAAUAAGGU
rnacentral:rRNA from 1 species